AAACCGCAAAAACGCGGAGGUCCUGCACGAACACAGAUGUUAUUCACGUCCCUCGAUGCUAUGCUUUUCAGCACUUUUCUACGGCUGCUUACAUCAAAAUAUUUUCGACAGGACUUGCUCGCUUUCAUAUUUUUCAUGGUGCCGAUAAUCAGCAAGCAGAAUGACGAGUGUGGGCUCCAUAACACUGUCCGACAAUGUAUCGCUCAAUGCUUGGGAUUGGUUGGAAACGUAUCUGCAUCAUACAAAAAUCCCAAAAAUAAUAGUAGCGAAAAGUGCUAUUUUGACAGAAAAAC